UGCCUGCCCAGUGACAAUCGUUAAACGGCCGCGGUAUCUUGACCGUGCAAAGGUAGCAUAAUCACUUGUUCUCUAAAUAAGGACUUGUAUGAAUGGCCACACGAGGGUUUUACUGUCUCUUACUCCUAAUCAGUGAAAUUGACCUCCCCGUGAAGAGGCGGGGAUAACACAAUAAGACGAGAAGACCCUAUGGAGCUUCAAUUAAUCAACUCAAAAAGCAUAAAACAAUACCACCAAGGGAUAACAAAGCUUUAUAUGAGCUGACAAUUUCGGUUGGGGUGACCUCGGAGCAUAAAAAACCCUCCGAGUGAUUAAAACUUAGGCCUACUAGCCAAAGUACAGUAUCACAUAUUGAUCCAAAAUUUUGAUCAACGGAACAAGUUACCCUAGGGAUAACAGCGCAAUCCUAUUCUAGAGUCCAUAUCGACAAUAGGGUUUACGACCUCGAUGUUGGAUCAGGACAUCCUAAUGGUGCACCAGCUAUUAAGGGUUCGUUUGUUCAACGAUUAAAGUCCUACGUGAUCUG
rnacentral:rRNA from 1 species